UGGGGGAUAUUGCACAAUGGGCGCAAGCCUGAUGCAGCGACGCCGCGUGGGGGAUGAAGGCCUUCGGGUUGUAAACUUCUUUUGCUCUGAACAAGGCGCACUUUGGGGUGUGUUGAGUGUAGGGGUUGAUUAGCGCCGGCUAACUACGUGCCAGCAGCCGCGGUAAUACGUAGGGCGCGAGCGUUGUCCGGAAUUAUUGGGCGUAAAGGGCUUGUAGGUGGCUGGUUGCGUCUGUCGUGAAAGCUCAUGGCUUAACUGUGGGUUUGCGGUGGGUACGGGCUGGCUUGAGUGCAGUAGGGGAGGCUGGAAUUCCUGGUGUAGCGGUGGAAUGCGCAGAUAUCAGGAGGAAUACCGGUGGCGAAGGUGGUCUCUGGGCUGUUACUGACACUGAGGAGCGAAAGCAUGGGGAGCGAACAGG
rnacentral:rRNA from 1 species